UACGAAGGGGGCUAGCGUUGUUCGGAAUUACUGGGCGUAAAGCGUACGUAGGCGGACAUUUAAGUUAGGGGUGAAAUCCCAAGGCUCAACCUUGGAACUGCCUCUAAUACUGGGUGUCUUGAGUCCGAGAGAGGUAAGUGGAACUCCGAGUGUAGAGGUGAAAUUCGUAGAUAUUGGGAAGAACACCGGUGGCGAAGGCGGCUCACUGGCCCGUAACUGACGCUCAGGCGCGAUAGCGUGGGGAUCAAACAGG
rnacentral:rRNA from 1 species